rnacentral:ncRNA from 1 species
CAUUACCGCCCUCCAACUCAGAGCGAAUGUGUACCCCCAUCGAUAAUUCCUGUCAAGGGGUAGACGAGAGACUUACAUCCGUUCCUGCAGACACUGGAGACCGAAUCCAGUGCCCAUAUCAUCGGGUACUGUCCUGCAGAGGUCCCCGGGCCGGUGCCCCGCCUCGGCCAGCGCCUAGCAGCCAGCUUAGAACUGGUGCGGACCAGGGGAAUCCGACUGUUCAAUUAAAACAAAGCAUCGCGAAGGCCCGCGGCGGGUGUUGACGCGAUGUGAUUUCUGCCCAGUGCUCUGAAUGUCAAAGUGAAGAAAUUCAAUGAAGCGCGGGUAAAUGGCAGGAGUAACUAUGACUCUCUUAAGGUCAUAGUCUUAAGGCUAUGCAUGCCUGGGGCUGACAGUUGGCGAGAAGAGGGCCCCCCGAAAGAAGGGGCGUACGAUGCCCGCGG